rnacentral:rRNA from 1 species
AUGAACGCUGGCGGCAUGCCUAACACAUGCAAGUCGAACGAAGCCUUCGGGUUUAGUGGCGCACGGGUGCGUAACGCGUGGGAAUCUACCCCUUGGUUCGGAAUAACAGUUGGAAACGACUGCUAAUACCGGAUGAUGACGUAAGUCCAAAGAUUUAUCGCCGAGGGAUGAGCCCGCGUAGGAUUAGGUAGUUGGUGUGGUAAAGGCGCACCAAGCCGACGAUCCUUAGCUG